UACGGAGGAUCCGAGCGUUAUCCGGAUUUAUUGGGUUUAAAGGGUGCUCAGGCGGGCCAUUAAGUCGGCGGUGAAAUUUUGCGGCUCAACCGUAAAAGUGCCUUCGAUACUGGUGGUCUUGAGUGUGGAUGAGGUAGGCGGAAUUUGUGGUGUAGCGGUGAAAUGCAUAGAUAUCACGAGGAACUCCGAUUGCGCAGGCAGCUUACUAAACUACUACUGACGCUCAGGCACGAAGGCGUGGGGAUCAAACAGGAUUAGAUACCCCGGUAGU
rnacentral:rRNA from 1 species